rnacentral:tRNA from 1 species
GCAGAGAUGGCUCAGUGGUUAAGAACACUGACUGCUCUUCUGAAGAUCCUGAGUUCAAACCUCAGCAUCAACA